GGUUUAAUUCGACGCACGACGAAGAACCUUACCGAGGGCUUGACAUCCCUGACCGCGUAUGAAAGUACGUUUCACCUCGGGUGACAGGGAGACAGGUGGUGCAUGGUUGUCGUCAGCUCGUGUCGUGAGAUGUUGGGUUAAGUCCCGCAACGAGCGCAACCCCUACGUUUAGUUGCUAACAGGUGAAGCUGAGCACUCUAGACGAACUGCCGUUGACAAAACGGAGGAAGGUGGGGAUGACGUCAGGUCCUCAUGGCCUUUAUGGCCAGGGCUACACACGUACUACAAUGGCCGGUACAAAGGGCAGCGACAUUGCGAGAUGGAGCGAAUCCCGAAAAGCCGGUCUCAGUCCGGAUUGGAGUCUGCAACUCGACUCCAUGAAGUUGGAAUCGCUAGUAAUCGUGGAUCAGCAUGCCACGGUGAAUACGUUCCCGGGCCUU
rnacentral:rRNA from 1 species